rnacentral:rRNA from 1 species
UACGUAGGGUGCAAGCGUUGUCCGGAAUUAUUGGGCGUAAAGAGCUCGUAGGCGGCUGUUCAAGUCGAACGUGAAAACUCGGAGCUCAACUCCGAGCCUGCGUUCGAUACUGGACGGCUAGAGUCUGGUAGGGGGAUCUGGAAUUCCUGGUGUAGCGGUGGAAUGCGCAGAUAUCAGGAGGAACACCGAUGGCGAAGGCAGGUCUCUGGGCCACUACUGACGCUGAGAAGCGAAAGCGUGGGGAGCGAACAGG